CCUACGGGAGGCAGCAGUAAGGAAUAUUGGUCAAUGGACGAAAGUCUGAACCAGCCAUGCCGCGUGAAGGAUGACGGCCCUCUGGGUUGUAAACUUCUUUUAUCUGGGACGAAAAAAGGGAAUUCUUUCUCACUUGACGGUACCAGAGGAAUAAGCACCGGCUAACUCCGUGCCAGCAGCCGCGGUAAUACGGAGGGUGCAAGCGUUAUCCGGAUUCACUGGGUUUAAAGGGAGCGUAGGUGGGCAGGUAAGUCAGUGGUGAAAUCUCCGGGCUUAACCCGGAAACUGCCAUUGAUACUAUUUGUCUUGAAUUAUCUGGAGGUAAGCGGAAUAUGUCAUGUAGCGGUGAAAUGCUUAGAUAUGACAUAGAACACCCAUUGCGAAGGCAGCUUACUACGGAUAUAUUGACACUGAGGCUCGAAAGCGUGGGGAUCAAACAGGAUUAGAUACCCUGGUAGUCCACGCCCUAAACGAUGGAUACUCGACAUCAGCGAUACACUGUUGGUGUCUGAGCGAAAGCAUUAAGUAUCCACCUGGGAAGUACGACCGCAAGGUUGAAACUCAAAGGAAAUUGACCGGCGNGAGAGNGCGAGACGACGACGAGGAGGAGG
rnacentral:rRNA from 1 species